GGGAUGGGGAGUUUAGAGUCAAUGACAGAUCAUACUCUAGUGCCAGAUAAGAUGUCAACACCAUGCUUGGCAUGGCUGAGAGCUUGAACCAUGGUGAUCAAGGUUGACCUUGCAUCCCCUUCUUCAUAAACACUUGUAAGGUUCCCUGGUAACCCAAUAGAAAUGAGCACUUGUCCUUGGAGAUUUCUUCUUUGUCAAACUUGAAGCUGUAGACAUGGUUGACGAGGCAAAGCUGUUCCAACUGUCAUCUGAUCUGCUGGUGUCCCCAUUUAAAUCCUAGGCGCCAUAAGAAUGUUGAUCUCUAAGGAUGCUUAUAAAAGGAGUAGCUCCAAUUCCCAGCCCCACAAGGAGCAAGACAUCGUAAUUUCUGUAGUCCUGUGCCGGAGCACCAUAUGGGCCAUCAACAAUCAGUUUUGGUUGCCUGCAUGAGUGUAUUCUGCCAGGUUAAUAUUUUCAUACAUAUUUGUACAAGUUAAUUACUAUGGCAGUAACGGCUUCAAUAAAAUUAUAUGUAUUUACUUUAA